rnacentral:rRNA from 1 species
GAUGAACGCUGGCGGCGUGCUUAACACAUGCAAGUCAUGGGGGCUCAGCAAUGGGCAACCGGCGAACGGGUGCGUAACACGUGAGCAACCUACCGAAAUGAGGGGGAUAGCCUGCCUAACGGCUGGGUAAUACCGCAUACGCUCGAGACCAGGCAUUUGGUUUGAGGAAACCUCAGGGGCAUUUCGAGGGGCUCGCGGCCUAUCAGCUAGUUGGUGAGGUAACGGCNCACCAAGGCGACGACGGUAGCUGGUCUGAGAGGAUGGCCAGCCACAUUGGGACUGAGAUACGGCCCAGACUCCUACGGGAGGCAGCAGUGGGGAAUCUUGCGCAAUGGCCUAACGGCUGACGCAGCGACGCCGCGUGAGGGAUGACGCUCUUCGGAGUGUAAAUCUCUUUCAGCCCCUGACGAAGCGAAAGUGACGGUAGGGGCAGAAGAG